UCAGACAUAAAAGGUGGCUCGGCUACCACUUACAGAUGGACCCGCGGCGCAUUAGCUAGUUGGUGAGGUAACGGCUCACCAAGGCGACGAUGCGUAGCCGACCUGAGAGGGUGAUCGGCCACACUGGGACUGAGACACGGCCCAGACUCCUACGGGAGGCAGCAGUAGGGAAUCUUCCGCAAUGGACGAAAGUCUGACGGAGCAACGCCGCGUGAGUGAUGAAGGUUUUCGGAUCGUAAAGCUCUGUUGUUAGGGAAGAACAAGUGCCGUUCAAAUAGGGCGGCACCUUGACGGUACCUAACCAGAAAGCCACGGCUAACUACGUGCCAGCAGCCGCGGUAAUACGUAGGUGGCAAGCGUUGUCCGGAAUUAUUGGGCGUAAAGGGCUCGCAGGCGGUUUCUUAAGUCUGAUGUGAAAGCCCCCGGCUCAACCGGGGAGGGUCAUUGGAAACUGGGGAACUUGAGUGCAGAAGAGGAGAGUGGAAUUCCACGUGUAGCGGUGAAAUGCGUAGAGAUGUGGAGGAACACCAGUGGCGAAGGCGACUCUCUGGUCUGUAACUGACGCUGAGGAGCGAAAGCGUGGGGAGCGAACAGGAUUAGAUACCCUGGUAGUCCACGCCGUAAGCGAUUAGUGCUAAGUGUUAGGGGGUUUCCGCCCCUUAGUGCUGCAGCUAACGCAUUAAGCACUCCGCCUGGGGAGUACGGUCGCAAGACUGAAACUCAAAGGAAUUGACGGGGGCCCGCACAAGCGGUGGAGCAUGUGGUUUAAUUCGAAGCAACGCGAAGAACCUUACCAGGUCUUGACAUCCUCUGACAAUCCUAGAGAUAGGACGUCCCCUUCGGGGGCAGAGUGACAGGUGGUGCAUGGUUGUCGUCAGCUCGUGUCGUGAGAUGUUGGGUUAAGUCCCGCAACGAGCGCAACCCUUGAUCUUAGUUGCCAGCAUUCAGUUGGGCACUCUAAGGUGACUGCCGGUGACAAACCGGAGGAAGGUGGGGAUGACGUCAAAUCAUCAUGCCCCUUAUGACCUGGGCUACACACGUGCUACAAUGGACAGAACAAAGGGCAGCGAAACCGCGAGGUUAAGCCAAUCCCACAAAUCUGUUCUCAGUUCGGAUCGCAGUCUGCAACUCGACUGCGUGAAGCUGGAAUCGCUAGUAAUCGCGGAUCAGCAUGCCG
rnacentral:rRNA from 1 species